rnacentral:misc_RNA from 1 species
UCCGAGUUGACCCCGGCAGUCUCCUGUGAGUCCCCGGCAUAACCCGCUGGCAACACAGAACGAGGGUUGCGCUCGUUGCGGGACUUAACCCAACAUCUCACGACACGAGCUGACGACAACCAUGCACCACCUGUAUACCGACCACAAGGGGGCGCACAUCUCUGCACGUUUCCGGUAUAUGUCAAGCCUUGGUAAGGUUCUUCGCGUUGCGUCGAAUUAAGCCACAUGCUCCGCUGCUUGUGCGGGCCCCCGUCAAUUCCUUUGAGUUUUAGCCUUGCGGCCGUACUCCCCAGGCGGGGAACUUAAUGCGUUAGCUGCGGCGCGGACCACGUGGAAUGUGACCCACACCUAGUUCCCAACGUUUACGGCGUGGACUAC